UUUUCUGUUUAUUUAUAGAUGAUCCCCUCUCAAUUUUCUUACACUUGGUCAUUGCAUAUCUUACCAUUUAGAAACUAAAAUCAACUUAGCCUCUGGUACAUAUUAAGUUACAUUCCAUCAGGAUAUCUGCUUUAGAUUUAUUGUCCUCCUUAUAUCAAAUUUUUGUGCAAAUAUGCCAUGCCAAGUUCUGGAUUUUGUGCUGGAACGGUUGUGCUUUCUGAUAUCAUGGAGGGCUGCCCUAUAUCCUGUCGUGCACAAGUAAUGCAAAUGAGAAACAAAAAAUUAUGAUUUGCAAACAAGAAAGUUCAGUUGGAAAAUAACUUCAUACUUUUAUUCAAAUCUUACAUCAUGAUGGGGUUAAAGCUAUCAAUUUGGCCAUAUGGCUUAAUUGCUGCCUCUUUCUUAAAUUUAGUUUUACCAUAAUGUCAGCAAAGGAUUACGGAUUAAAAUUCUAGAUAAUCAGUCAGAAUUGCAAGGGGAUUAAUUAAUAAUUAUUAUCUAAAAUUAGAAAAGAAAUCAUAGUAAUUACGUGAUAUUUUACUUUUCCCCCUACUCACCCACUUCUCCACUCCUCAUACCAUCCUUACAUCCUCUCUGCCUUUUUGCAAUAAUAAUGAUACUCUAGCUUUACUAUCUUUUCCUGAUCUUUCUUUUUCUCAUCCCAUCAAAGCUUUAUCUAGCUAGAUUAAUAAAAAUAAAUCCAGUAUAAUUACAAUUUAUUUAUGAGAAGCAACAAGUUUUAUUACGGAAAAACUCAUGAUGUUCAUAUCGAUCUAUUAUGCGUCUCUGCAUCUAGCAUUAGCUAGACCUAAUAUGAUAAUUAUUCUAGCUCUACCCUAUCUUUUGUUCCAUUUCUUCUGGAGAUUUGAGGGAACUGAAUGCAUUUAUUGUCAAAGAUAGAUUAAUUUUGAUGUGGUGGUAAAGUUUAACCUUAAGGUACAUCCUUCUUUAUUUAUGAUAUUCAAAGGCCAAAUUAAGUACUAUAUAAAUUGCAGAGUUGUUGCAAUUCAACAAAGAUGGCAAUUAUGGCCAUUGCAGUAAAUGUGUUUUCGUAGCUCCUCUCUCGUAGAAAAAGGACCUAUAACCGACAAUUAAGAAUGCCUUUGGUAUUGACUAUUGACUCUCUCUCAUAAGGUAAUCACCGAGGUGAAAGUAACUCUCUCGAAAAUCAGUUUUCGCAGUUUAAUAGUCCACCUACAAGAUCAGAAGGGCUUAAGUUGCUUUUGCCUUACCUAAGUGUGAAUGAGGGGCAUAGCGAGAUGCCAAAAAACACUGACAAAAUUAAUAACUGUAGGGAUACCCAAUCACAUGUUGAGCUACUUCAAGCUUCCUAUCUACAUAAUCAAUCAGAUUGAAGUCCUGCUACAUGACUUCCCAGUCUGCCUAAAACUCAUUUUCGAAAUGAAUACAACUACUUUCUUCUUGCUCUUUUGUGUGCUGUUGGGCUUGUCUCUGUUAAUUGAGCCUCGUCUGGAUUAAAGGCCUGUUGGCUAAGCUGUUGCUGGUAGCUGAUAGUUGAUAACUGAUAGCUGGUAGCUAAUGGCCGAUUGAUUUUAGUGUUUAGUAAAAGUAUUGCUAAUUGAUGUUGUUUAUAUAAUCUAGGACUAAUAUAGACAUCAAUUAAUGUUUUUCCAUAUGAUAAUGUCAGAAUUUUUUUAUUAUAUUACCUACUUAUCUUUAUGUAUAUACACGUAAUGAAUAAUAUUUUAUUUGUCUCAAAGAAGAAAAUGAAAGCCAUUUCAUCAUUAUGAAUAUAGUAUUAGAAAUAGUAUCAUAUAGAAAAAGUAGAAUAAAUUAUUUUUUGUUAUAUUUAGUUCUCAUAAGGUUAAAAAAAAGAUUGUGUUGUACCUUAUUCAAAACACUAGUAUGUACAUAUGCAGUUUUAACUAAAGGAAACAAAUUGUUAAACAAACGUUUUUUUUUUUUAAACUUUUGUUUCUUUUUUAUUUCUCUAUCAGUUUAUUUUUCAUUGAAAUUUUCUAGUAAAUAUUUCAAAAAGAAAUUAAGGGAUAAAUGAGUCCAAUUAGUUUAAAAAGCUAUGGAAUAGAGUUGUUGUAAACUGGUGCCAUUUAGUAUCCUAACAACUAUCUGCUACCAAUUUAAAUAAUUAACCAAACACUUUUUAUUUAGAGUAAACAGCUAUCAGCUCCCACCAAUAGCUACGCCAAACACCCCUUAAGACCUCAAAGUUCAUGAUUUAUCAAAAUCCUUGGAAUUAAGAAACCUAGGUUUUUAAUAGGUUUCUGAAUUCAUGGAUUUUAAAAUUGUAACUUUUUGUUAUACAUAUAAAAGCCAACGGAAUUUAAGGGCAAAUUUUGGACAUAAUGGAUAACAUCCCACAUUCAUUAAAGUGAGGUAUUUGGCAAAACCCCGCCUCCUAGGGGGUUUUUAGAUUUCAUCUUUUGGUGGAUUUUGUUAGAUGAUGUAUUUUAAAAAAUCUGUGGAUUUUGUCCAUUUUUUCACACCCAAACGAUAGGUUUUGUCAAAUUCAUGGAUUUUGUAAAAUCUCAUCAAAUCCCUCUAAUUAAAAAUUGCCUUGAGUUUUGGUGGUGAAUCAAGACAGACAGUUUGCUGAAAGGGUUAUGUAGCUUGGGUGGCAAGGUAAUUAAGCUUUCUAACGUGACUAUUUCAAUAAAAUUAUGACGUUUAUAUUAGACGGCCUGAAGUGAAUGUUCUUUCUUAAAAUUCUUUCAUUGCAGGCUUUGCAAUGCAAGGUCAAUUCUUCCUGGCCCAGGACAAAUCUGAUGUUAGAGUUUGCCUAUAUCUAGAAAUGCCGAUAUUGGGAAAGGAUGUAGAGAAAAGAGCGGGGCUGGCUGGCCUGGAAAGAGAGGAAAGGGAUGGUAGGGACAAGGAUGGAGACUGGAGAGGAAAGAAAUAUAUAAAAUAAAGGCCUAAUGACUAGAGAAGAUCUAGAUCUUUGUAUAUAAGAAUUGGAAAUUUUCUUUUUAAUCUUGUUUAUUCAUUAGGCGUUCUUUAUACAUAUGUUGAAAUUCUGCUGUGAUGUGUUAUGACUGCAUGUUCUUUGGAAUCCUACUUUUCAAGCAGAUAUUUGGCCAAGUUUAAUUUGGUAUCUGAGAGACGCAUAUCCUUCUUUUUUGUUGAAGAAACUUCUGUCAACCGUGUGCUUCCAUCCUAGGUGAAUUGCCAUAAUUCACUGCAUUCUUAUCUAUCUAUGGGUGCAUAUGCAGGAUCUGUGAAAGAUUCUGCUGUAGGUGAAGAGCGAAUUGCUCAAUACUUGUUGGCUGUUUUAAAUACUCGAGGCACUCCACUGCACUGGAGACACUGGAAUAACAGAAAAAUGGAUGGAAUCAAAUAUAAUUCCCAGGACAAACAUGAGUGUAAUCUUAAAGAUCUUCGGCCAAAGAGGAAGAGGCCACCAAAUUUAUCUGAUGUGCUGUAUGUUGAGGUGACUAUCUCUCUCCCUCUCUUGCUACAGCAGGGCUACACUAAAGAAAUAUAACUCAGUGUUUGUUGAUCAUUCAAACUAUGCUUGCGGUGGUGUUAUGUAUCAAAUUUUUUAAUAUUCCAUUGUGUGAUUAUGAACUGAUGGCUUGUCAUUGUCAAAAUAAUGUCUCAUAAUACAGCAUGGUGCCAUGGCCUACACUGGAGAUAUGUAACUUAUGGGUUGUUGAUCAUUGAAAGUAGAUUUCAAUGACUGACUCUUAAUACAGUAUGGCACUAACGAAACGCAAUUCGAUGUUUGUCAAUCAAUGAGAGUGUAUUCUGUGGUCGGAUGUUACAUGAUUCAUCAUCAUACAGGGCUUGUUACGGUCAAGAUGAUAAUUAGGAUAGCAGUUUCAGUGUCCAACUGUAUGAGGUGCUUUUGAUGUUAGACGCAUGUGGUCCAAUUUUGUCUUUCAUUUAUAGCAUGUUUGCAUUAUUUAAGUUUCUGAAAUCAUAAAUUAUUCACUAAAGGACAUGGUCUUUUUCGUCCCUGUUCUCACCUGUUGCAUUAAAACUCAUAGACUAAAGAUUAACCAGUAAUCACCACGAUGAUCCAUUUAGUAAAAACAUUAAUGAUUAUCUUAUUCCAAAUUUUAGGCUUUGUAUAUCUGAUAAUGCUAACAAUAAUCUGAAUAAUUGGAAAAAUUUCCUCAAUCUUUCGAAAAAGCAAUACAAUUUCAUUAAUGUCUUGUCGGACUAAUACCAAUUAAUGAUGNNNAACUUCAAAGAAUUUUUGCCCUUUCAUCAUUUCCCAUACUGUUUUAUAGUUAUUGUUAUGCAGUUUUAAUUAGGAUAUCAAAGCCAACCUGCUGCACCUUUUAUUUGUCGGUGUCGUUUCUAAAUGUUUGGUUUUUGCUUGUGUUCAUCUGCAGGAUAUGGUUACUGAAGUGCAAUGCUCAUUGUAUAAAACUCUAGCAGAAUUCAAUGGCAAUGUGGAAGAUGAGAACGAUUUGGAGAAUCUUAUAGAACAGCAAUUUGCAGUGCUGCAAAAGGCAUUAAAGAUACCUCACAAGGCAUCCGAAGCUCGUUUGAUGGUCUCAAAGAAGUUUCUUACUCUAUUUAGGACAGGUAAACUUGGCCAUUUCAUUCUUGACAAUGUUCCUGAAACCAACUCUGUAUAAUAAUAUCUGCUGGAAUUUCAUGAUGCAGAUCAAGAAAAUAGAAUGUUGAAAUUUAAUUCUUAAUUGCAGGAUUAAAAAUUUUCGCCUAAACCAUUUAUUUAGGAAAUUUGAAUUUUUAGUUACUGUCUAGGAGUAUUAGAAGUUAUUUGAAUUCUAGUUAGUAGUAGCUUAUAAUAUUUCUAGUCCUAAUAGUUUAGGAUUACUUUUUUAGUCUAUAAAUAGCUAGGCUUGUAUUGUCUUAUUUUGAGUUGAGUUAUGCAAUUCUCUUUACCCUGACCGAAGGAACCCGUGGUUGUCAUGUCAUCUGCUUCUAAAUGAGACUUAGAAUUCUCCUCCUUUUUUAUUCCAAUCUUUUCUUUGUUUACUACAUGUUCAGAUCUAAAAACCUGCAGUUAAAUUCAGGCUCAGCUUCUGAGUUCCCAUAUUUUCUGCAAAUCAAUGCAGAACAGCUUACCCUAAAUCUCCUUUCCAUCUGUUUAUGUUCUUGCAAUCACUUUCUACUGUGCAACACUUGCUGUGCACCAUACCAGUAUUAAUAAUGCAGAAUAUAUAUAUAUAUAUAUAUAUAUACAUAUUGAAGUUGUGUUGUUGAGACGUUGUAAUUAUGCUAGUGAGUUAGGCUUCUUGAAUUUUGAAAGCAUCCCUUCAACCACUUGGAACUACCAAUGCAGUUGGAAUUAGAAGUACCAAACUUGAAUAGCUUGUAAAGUUGAGUACCUAAUUGGAUGUGAUUUCAGGUAAAUAGGAUACCGCUGGUGAUUACACACGUACUACUUACUACCUUAUACCUCCAACAUUUCCAAAAUGAUUGUCUACUAAUCUUAAUCUAGAGUGCAUAGUUUUAAUGAUUCAGUGAUAUUACCUUGUUGCACAUAUAUAAACUAAAAAUUCUAAUUUUUUUGCCUCGCCUUAUCUUUUCAACACCCCAUCAAAUUCUCACAAUUCAGAGAUAUUAUAGUAAUUGUUCAUGAGAUUUGUUGUCGGCUACUCUCACCACGACACUCAUUGGCCGCCCCAUCACUGCCACUUUUGGCCCUUAUAAGUAUUAGGGGGUAAAUAACUUAUCUAAUAUAUAAAUCAGUUUCUAUAUUUUUUUAUUAUAUUAAAACUCAUUUGAAUUUUAAUAAAAUUAAUUUUAUUAUUAUAUUAGAGUAAAAUUUUAGUUUUUAAUUUGUGUCUAAUUAAAAUAAUAAAAUUAAUAUUUUUUACUGUUUACAUCUUUUAUUUUUAGCAUAUUUUAAUCCUAAAAUAAAUUUGAAUGUAUUAAAAAUAUUUAUUUUUUGUAUGAUAUUAUUGAAAUAUUGUGUAGUUAAAUUUUAAAUUCUUAAAUAAAAUAGAUAGUUAAAAGUUAUUAUUCUUAUUAGAUAUUAAAAUAAAAAUAUAUCAAAAAUAAAAAUUUUGCUCAUUUUAAUUUGACUCGAAUGGUUGAUAAAAAGCUUCAUUUUUAACAUACAAAAUUAUCAUGAUCUUCUUCAUUUAUAAGGGACUUGUCAAUUUAGUGUUUAGGUUAUUUCAUUAUAUUAAAGCAUGAUUGUUUAAUUUAAUUUUUACUUUUUAUAUAGUUUAACUAUAAUAUAUAAUAACAAUAACAAUAAAUGAUAUUUUUGACUAGAAAUGUUUUAUUUUAUAUUAAUAACUAAAAUUAAAUUAUAUAAUAAUUUAAUAAUAUUGUUGUAAAUAUAAGUAGUUUUAUAAUAUUUAAAUUGGCUUGAAUUAAUUAAAAAUUAAAAAAGAAAAAAUAUUAAAUUUGUUAUUUUAAUUAAACACUAAAAUUAACUUGUGCUAAAAAUAGGAUUUUACUCUAAUUUGAUAAUAAAAUUAACUUUAGACGAGUUUGAUACUUAAUAAUAAGUUUAAAGAUUAAAUUUUAAUCUUAAAUUAUCAAUUUAGUCAUUUGAUUAACACAAAAUGGAAUAGUAGUUAGUUUUAUUAAAAUUCAAUGAGGUUCUAAUAGAAUAAAAAAAUGCAAGGACUGAUUUGUGUAUUAAACCAAACCAUAAGAAUAAAUAGUAUUUAACCCUAAGUAUUAAUUGUUAAAAGUUUUUUCUUUUUUGUUCGUGUAUCUACUAGCCAUUAGAUUUUUUUUAUGUAUUAGCUAUGACAUAUUUAGUAGUAGUAAUGACUUCUUUUAAUAAUUAAUUAGUUACAUUAAAAAAAUUAAACUAAUUGCAACAACAUUAUUUCGAGCCCUUGAGAAUAAAACAAUUAUGUGUGAAUUUGAGGUUAAUGCUAUAACUAGUCGCAAAUGAUAAUCUUUGAUGAAAAUAUUAUUAACAUCACAAAUAAUAUGAUUAUCGCGAGAAAAAAUAAUAUGUUGCUAUUAAAAUGGCGCCAAAUUUUUUCACCAAAAUAAUGAUAAUUUUAACGAAAUAUUUAAGUAUCACUGAUAAAUUUCAUAAUAUUAAAAAAAUGACUUUUAAAUUAAUUAAUUGCGACAGGAUUAUUUUUUUUCCUAAGAAAUAAGGUUAUUAACGGCUAUCAUGCACAAAAAGAAUAUGUUCUUUUGUAGGAUUUCAACUUAUUAUUUUCCUUUUUUAUCUUGGAAAAAUGAAAAUAAAGAAAUGUUUUAAUUUUCUUUAAAGAAUUUCACUUGACCCUUCUGUUACUAUCAAGAAUGAUAUGAAAUAAGUUUAACAGCCUGAAGGUUAGGGCUGACGAAGACGGAAUUGGCUGUAAUUUGCAGAAAUGGGAGAGGAGCUAUUGCGGAUAAAGCAACGAGAAGGGUGAGAGCUAAAUCUCCUUUGUCGGCAAAAGCUUUGCUUCACUCCCACUUAACAAGAAAAGAUGCGUAAACUAUAAACAAUAUAUACACUAUUACUCCACUAUCAUUUCUCAGAAUUCCCUCUAAUAAUCCUACAAAUUAAUAAGGAUUUAAAAGAGGAAAUACUCUUUUUAAAUUUAUAGUUAGUAAUUUCAUAGAUAACACAUCAUUAUUUCAAGAUUACGUAAGAAAAUGGAUUUAGGAACAAAGUUGCAAAAACUACCCAUUAAAAGUUAAAAAUGAUUACAGUCACAAAGUGGCAGAAUGUACCAAAAAAAUUGCAUGUUGCUCCAUUAUCUUGGAACAUGGGUUGCUUUUUCUUGAUCCUUAAAAUUGAAAUGUUCAUGUGUUUUAGAUGAAACUGCCUAUUCUUUAAUCUUUGUCUGCAUCAAACCAUCCAAAGAUCUGUACUGCAAAAGGUGUUUUACCCUUCAAGGGAAUGUGUGUCUUUCCCUCUGAUCUCGCAUGGAAUUUGAGUAUAUACGUUCAUCCUCUCUAAAAAUUAUAAAAUCAUUAAAAAAUUAAAAUUGAAUAAUACUAUAUCAUAAAGAUUUAGCAAAAAAUACUAAAAAAAUAUUAACCGACUAUAUAACUAACUAAUUAUAUAUAUAUAUAUAUAUAUAUUUGUUGAGUAUUUUAUUUGAUAUAUAAACAUGUUAUAUUUUUUAAAAUUUUUUAAAUACUUAUUACUUUUGAUGACGAUAAAUUCAUUUAUUAAAAAAAUUUAUUCUCUUUUUUAUAUAAUUUAAUAAUUUUUUUCUUAUUUAAACUGUUUAAUUUUUUAUUAUAUUCAUAAUAUUUUUAUGAAAUUAUAUAAAUAGGUGUAUCUUAUAAAAUUAAAUAAAUAAAAAAAUUAAUAAUAUAAAUCGAAUCAAAAUAAAUUAUUAUGUUAUAAUUUGAUUUCCAUUUGAUUAUUUCAUUUAUUUUAAAUAUAUUUUUGUUAAUUUAGUUUUUUUUUUAUAUUUUAAGUAUAUAAUUCAAUAAUAUUUCCUUACUUUACAUAUAUAAAAGUAAAAGAAAUUUAUGUUAACCUAAACACUAAUUUUUAAUUAACUGCAUGUUUUACUUAAAAUUGAACCUUAUCAAAAUAAUUUCAUUAGGAUAAAUUUAAGAUAGAAUGCAACGAGGGGUCAAAAUCUUAAUAAAAAAUUAACUAUUUUAAUUGAUAAGCUAAUUAUUCAACUAUGAUAUAAUAAAAAAUCUUAAAAAUUCUAAUCCAAAUUAAAAUUAUAAAAAAUACUUUAGAGAAAAAAAGGACUAUUAAAUACUUAAAAUUCAUAAUUAAGGUGUUGUAUAUUGUAAUAUAAUACUUAAAAAAUAAAUUAUUUAAAGUGAAAGUUAUAAAUAUGAAUCCAAAUGGAUAUAGGAAUGUAAAAUAAUUAAAUAUCCUAAUUGAAGUAUUGAAAUUGUAACAUAAUACUCUUUAAACAGUAAAAAAAUAUUAUUUUACAAUAUAAAACAACUCAGCACUCCAUUUACCACCAUUUCUGCAAGCUUCCCAUAUGGAAUAUUUCAACACAUAGGCCUAACGGAGACAAAUAACCAUAAUCCACAGAUGAAAUCUUACAGUCUUGGAAAACAAGAGAUAUAUAUGUGUUUGCCUAACUAACAGGUGAGUUAGAAGACUGACCUCUUACGUCGUGCCGACUCCUCAGCUAGACCUUUCAGGUUUACCCUUGACGAUAGCUCGAGCUUAGCCAUUAAACUCCUAGAUCAGAUUGUCAAAAGGCCCAUUAAAUGCCUAACAGUAGUAGGUACCAGAAAUUUAAAGGAUUAAAGGAAAUUAAACCUGUCGGCAUGAGGUUGGAGGGCUAAUCAGGAAUCUCCAAAUUGUGCUAUCCGUGGGAGACGGCUUUUGUGGGUAUUGCUAAACAAAAUAUCUGCCAGAGCUGUAUUCACUGUAAAGAGAAAAUGAAACAGAAAUUCUUA
rnacentral:lncRNA from 1 species